GUCUGCUUGGCUCAGUUGGUUAGAGCGUUGGUCUCAUAUUAGAUUGUGAUCUAAUCUUAGAUUAGAGUGAUCCAAAGGUCGUGAGUUCGAACCUCACAGCGGACA
rfam:Fusarium oxysporum Fo5176 contig03537, whole genome shotgun sequence.